UGGGGAAUAUUGGACAAUGGGGGAAACCCUGAUCCAGCAAUGCCGCGUGAGUGAAGAAGGCCUUAGGGUUGUAAAGCUCUUUCGCCCGCGAAGAUAAUGACGGUAGCGGGAGAAGAAGCCCCGGCUAACUCCGUGCCAGCAGCCGCGGUAAUACGGAGGGGGCUAGCGUUGUUCGGAAUUACUGGGCGUAAAGCGUGCGUAGGUGGUUGUUUAAGUCUGAUGUGAAAGCCCUGGGCUCAACCUGGGAAUGGCAUUGGAAACUGGGCAGCUAGAGUGCGGUAGAGGGUAGUGGAAUUCCCGGUGUAGCAGUGAAAUGCGUAGAGAUCGGGAGGAACAUCUGUGGCGAAGGCGACUGCCUGGACCAGCACUGACACUGAGGCACGAAAGCGUGGGGAGCAAACA
rnacentral:rRNA from 1 species